rnacentral:tRNA from 1 species
GCCUUCUUGGCUCAGUUGGCUAGAGCGCAGGUCUCAUAGUAAUGUUAUGACGCAUCGUGGAUGUGCAAUCCUGAGGUCGCAAGUUCGAGCCUUGCAGAGGGCA